CCUACGGGAGGCAGCAGUGGGGAAUAUUGGGCAAUGGGCGCAAGCCUGACCCAGCAACGCCGCGUGAAGGAAGAAGGCCCUCGGGUUGUAAACUUCUUUUAUCAAGGACGAAACACAUGACGGUACUUAAUGAAUAAGCCACGGCUACCUACGUGCCAGCAGCCGCGGUAAUACGUAGGUGGCAAGCGUUAUCCGGAUGUACUGGGUGUAAAGGGCGUGUAGGGGGGACUGCAAGUCAUAUGUGAAAACCAUGGGCUCAACCCAUGGCCUGCAGUUGAAACUGUAGUUCGGGAGGGUUGGAGAGGCAGGCGGAAUUCCGUGUGUAGCGGUGAAAUGCGUAGAUAUACAGAGGAACACCAGUGGCGAAGGCGGCCUGCUGGAAAAUAACUGACGCUGAGGCGCGAAAGCGUGGGGAGCAAACAGGAUUAGAUACCCUUGUAGUC
rnacentral:rRNA from 1 species